rnacentral:rRNA from 1 species
CAGUCGCGUUGGCCAGGAAUCAACCUUGCUUUUCUGCUUGGUGUACUUUCUGGUUGAUGGGUCAGCAUCAAUUUUGAUCAGUGGAAAAAGAUCAAGGGAAUGUGGCAGCUUGCUGUGUUAUAGCCUUCGGCAGAUGUGAUGAUCGGGAUUGAGGUAUUGCAACGGAUACCCGUUCGGGGCUACCCGUCUGA